rnacentral:rRNA from 1 species
GACGAACGCUGGCGGCGUGCCUAAUACAUGCAAGUCGAACGCACUCUCGUUUAGAUUGAAGGAGCUUGCUCCUGAUUGAUAAACAUUUGAGUGAGUGGCGGACGGGUGAGUAACACGUGGGUAACCUGCCCUAAAGUGGGGGAUAACAUUUGGAAACAGAUGCUAAUACCGCAUAAAACCUAACACCGCAUGGUGUAGGGUUGAAAGAUGGUUUCGGCUAUCACUUUAGGAUGGACCCGCGGUGCAUUAGUUAGUUGGUGAGGUAAAGGCUCACCAAGACCGUGAUGCAUAGCCGACCUGAGAGGGUAAUCGGCCACACUGGGACUGAGACACGGCCCAGACUCCUACGGGAGGCAGCAGUAGGGAAUCUUCCACAAUGGACGAAAGUCUGAUGGAGCAACGCCGCGUGAGUGAAGAAGGUUUUCGGAUCGUAAAACUCUGUUGUUGGAGAAGAAUGUAUCUGAUAGUAACUGAUCAGGUAGU